rnacentral:rRNA from 1 species
GACGAACGCUGGCGGCGUGCUUAACACAUGCAAGUCGAACGGAAAGGCCCUGCUUUUGUGGGGUGCUCGAGUGGCGAACGGGUGAGUAACACGUGAGUAACCUGCCCUUGACUUUGGGAUAACUUCAGGAAACUGGGGCUAAUACCGGAUAGGAGCUCCUGCUGCAUGGUGGGGGUUGGAAAGUUUCGGCGGUUGGAGAUGGACUCGCGGCUUAUCAGCUUGUUGGUGGGGUAGUGGCUUACCAAGGCUUUGACGGGUAGCCGGCCUGAGAGGGUGACCGGCCACAUGGGGACUGAGAUACGGCCCAGACUCCUACGGGAGGCAGCAGUGGGGAAUAUUGCACAAUGGGCGGAAGCCUGAUGCAGCAACGCCGCGUGCGGGAUGACGGCCUUCGGGUUGUAAACCGCUUUCGCCUGUGACGAAGCGUGAGUGACGGUAAUGGGGAAAGAAGCACCGGCCAACUACGU